ACGAACGCUGGCGGCAUGCCUAACACAUGCAAGUCGAGGCGCAUCAGCAAUGGUGAGCGGCGGACGGUGGAGGAAUACAUGGGGACCUGCCCAGGGGUGGGGGUAUAACCAAGGGAAACUUUGGCUAAUCCGCAUACGUCCUGAGGGAGAAAGAUUUAUUGCCCUUGGAGGGGCCCAUGUGAGAUUAGGUAGUUGGUGAGGUAACGGCUCACCAAGCCAACGAUCUCUAGCUGGUCUGAGAGGAUGAUCAGCCACACUGGGACUGAGACACGGCCCAGACUCCUACGGGAGGCAGCAGUGGGGAAUAUUGGACCAUGGGGGCAACCCUGAUCCAGCAAUGCGCGUGAGUGAUGAAGGCCUUCGGGUUGUAAAGCUCUUUUGGCGGGACGAUAAUGACGGUACCUGCAGAAUAAGCCCGGCUACUUCGUGCCAGCAGCCGCGGUAAUACGAAGGGGCAAGCGUUUGUUCGGAGUUACUGGGCGUAAAGGGCGCGUAGGCGGUUUUUCAAGUCAGAUGUGAAAGCCCUGGGCUUAACCCGGGAGUGGCAUUUGGGACUGAAAGGCUAGAGGACGAGAGAGGAUGAUGGAAUUCCCAGUGUAGAGGUGAAAUUCGUAGAGAUUGGGAAGAACACCGGUGGCGAAGGCGGUCAUCUGGCUCGUAACUGACGCUGAGGCGCGAAAGCGUGGGGAGCAAACAGGAUUAGAUACCCUGGUAGUCCACGCCGUAAACGAUGGGUGCUGGCCGUUGGGACCGCAAGGUUUCAGUGGCGAAGCUAACGCGAGAAGCACCCCGCCUGGGAAGUACGGUCGCAAGAUUAAAACUCAAAGGGAUUGACGGGGGGCCCGCACAAGCGGUGGAGUAUGUUGUUUAAUUCGACGCAACGCGAAGAACCUUACCAGCCCUUGACAUGUCCUCUAUGAGCCCAAGAGAUUGGGCUCUUCGGUUCGGCCGGGAGGAACACAGGUGCUGCAUGGCUGUCCGUCAGCUCGUGUCGUGAGAUGUUGGGUUAAGUCCGCAAACGAGCGCAACCCCUGUUGUCAGUUGCCAUCAUUAGUUGGGCACUCUGACAAACCGCCAGCGAUAAGCUGGAGGAAGGCGGGGAUGACGUCAAGUCCUCAUGGCCUUUAUGGGCUGGGCUACAAACGUACUACAAUGGCGCCGACAAAGGGAUGCGACCUCGCAAGAGUUAGCCAAUCCCAAACGUCGUCUCAGUUCGGAUUGUCUCUGCAACUCGAGGGCAUGAAGCUGGAAUCGCUAGUAAUCGUGGAUCAGCAUGCCACGGUGAAUACGUUCCCGGGCCUUGUACACACCGCCCGUCACACCAUGGAAGUUGGUUCAACCCGAAGGACGGCCCGUCAACCGCAAGGAGACAGCCGGCCACGGUUGGGUCAAUGACUGGGGUG
rnacentral:rRNA from 1 species